GUACACUGCAACACCAAAUCUGGCAUCAAACCGACACUCUUCAAAUCCAUUCAUUACUUGGACUUUCUGACUGCAUGGAUUUUGGACAUGUACCCUGAAGUUCCUGAAUUACUGUUUUUUAGCCACACAUAGCUUUAGAUUAGAAGUGUGAUCAGUGUGAAAGAAACAUCCGUUUACAGAACUGAGUACUUCCUGCUACUUUGUAUAAAGUGGUAGUCAGAACAACAAACACACGCCACACAGCAGCACCUGGGCCCUCGUCAGCUUUCCAUCAGUGAGCAGUGCCGUUACAGUCAGCAUGUUACUGCUACGAAGAUGUUCUCAGGGAGAGGCUGAAAUGAGCUGAACUCAGUUUUUAGCAGAUUUGUAUCCUCACAUCCUACCCUCUGCUUCACCAGCAGCAAGAUCUUUUAAACAAACAAUAAUGCAACUCAGUAUGAAGAUAUAUCUGGCUCUGCUAUGGGGAAUAUCUAUCUGGUUUUCUAUAGAGUCCAUGAGUGCCUCCAUCCCAGAAACCAGCAGCGUUAAAUCAACUGCUGAACUCGACAGGACAACAAAGCAGGUGAUCAGUCCACAUGAAGCUCAUGCUGAAACAGAGACGCAGCCAACUCACAAGCCAGCAGAAGUUAAUGCUGCUGAAACAGCGCAGAAAACGUCGACAGCCACAGUGGGAAAGGAAGAGCCAAAUGUCACUUACAGUAGUGACAGCCCAAAUGACAGCACGGUUGAUUUGGUUGCCAUGAACACUGCGGCAGCAACAGCAAGCAGCUCGGGUCCAAGGUGGUUUCCAACCACCACAGCAGUGAUCACAAUUGCAAGUGAAGCACAACCUUCCCACAACACGAUGAUCUCAGAACCUGUAAAACCUACUGAGGAGAAGUUACAUCAACGAUCAAGCACCACUUCUACUGAUAUGACUGCUCCUGUGACAACUCCCGCGACAACUUCUGCAACAACUCCUGCCACAACUAAUGCAACAACUCCUGCGACAACAUCUGCAACAAUUCCUGUGACAACUCCUGCAGCAUCCUUAGCAACAGUGGCCACGUCUUUGCCGCAGUAUACCUCCACCACUAAACCUGAAGUUACAUCCACGUUAUCUUCCACAACCUCUCCUGCUGAUUCAACUCAGGCUCCAGUCUUCAUCCAGAACCUCACCAGUCCAUCAGCUUCUACCACGACCACAAUGACAGCGAAGCCUACCUCUGACUCCACUUCUUUGCCAGUCACAGUGAGUGAGACAUCCACCACCAGCACUGAGCUUUCAUCGACACACCGGCCCGUUUCCGUGACGAGAAGCCACAUCUCCACAUCACAGUUUGCUGACACAGCAGGGUCGAGCUCUACCGCUGAGCUUCCCACAACCUCAUUCUCAACCGAUUCUGCCAUCUCCACCACUGCCGCUAUCUCCUCCAGUACUGCAGGAAUCUUGGUCCCUCGGGUAACCAAGAGGCGGCCAAUCCCAACAACCAAAUCAACUUUGCCUACUACGUCAACACCUUGUGAAGUCCCAAAGAGUCCACCCAGCACUGAGGUCCAGCCCUGCUCCACCUGGAGCGUGAAGAAGCAGUGCCUCAUCGCUAUUGCCUCCCUGGCUGCGUUGGCCACCAUCUUCAUGGUUUCUACCAUUGUCCUCUGUGCAAAGCUGUCAACAAGGAAGUACAAGGUCAAGAAACCUAAGCAGGCCACAGAGAUGAUGUGCAUCUCGGCCCUGCUGCCUGAAAGGAAUUGCACCUACACAAGACAACGCAGUCCAGUGACUAAUGGGGUCCUGGUGAUCCAUGGUGGUGGAGACAGCGAUGAGGAUGUAGGAGACAACCUCACUCUGAGUAGCUUCCUUCCAGAAAAUGACCGUUUUGUUUAGAUGGAAUUAUUUUUAUUGUCACGUACAUGCUUUCAUCAGACUUCGGACUGGACUGGUUUGUCUCAUGUCAGUGAUGUGAAAACAGUUGCUGAUUGGAUCAACUCAUGCUUCCUCUUUUAUGUUGGUGGUUUGGCUUCGCUGCACACCCUAUUCCUGUGGAGGAAGAGACAGAGAAACCACAAAGAGUAACAGUGACUUUCAUUUUCACAUACCACUAAUCGUAUCUGGCAUUUGGUGAGGUCAUGUCGUCAAAUGUGUAUUUUAGGCGAGGGUUUUUGCAUAAUUUUACACUUGAGUCAGGAAGUCAAGAUGAGUGUUCAAAGAUUUUUUUGUGUCUGACAUCCUGAACAGAGCACUGAAGGUAUUUCACUUAGCGACGGGAGACAGGAAGGCUUGUUUUGUCAAAGGAUUACUGUUCUUCACAGACACUGUUCAGUUUAGUGGUAGCAGUGAGGCUUAAUCGCAUGAAUGCUGUCCACUGAUCAAUCAAAAGUCUGUUAUGGCCCAAUAAUUAUUGGUAAGAACUAAGUGACAGCAAGAAGGCUGUGGGUUUGAACGUUGUUAGCUUCUGUGUGCCCUAUGAUGGACUAGGUUAGCCCCCGCAUCCCUGCAAAAGUGGGAUGAGCAGGUAUGGAAGAUGGAUGGAUGAACUAUGUGAUUUGGGACUAACUUAAUAGAAACAAUUUAGUUAAAGUUAGUUAUGUUAAGUUUACAAGCAGUUCCUGAAAGAUAACUACUCCUUUUAAACCUAGGAAAAGAUUAUUUAAAAAAGAGUCUUAGUUAAACUUGUUUUAUAGCAUUUAAUUAGAAUUGCUUAUUUGGCGGAUUACCAGUUGAAAACAUUGAGUGUUUUUGCCUAUAAUUACUGCCAACACCGUGUUAGGAAAUUAAGAUAAGGGAUUACCAAAGUUUUACUUGCUUGUUCCUUCAAACAGACAGCUGUUCACUCUGGCAUUUAAAAUAAGAACAUGAAUUUGAAUUUUGAAUUUGAAUUUAUUUCAGGAUAACCCCUAGAGAUGUAUCAUCUCAUUUUGGAGGGGGUCCUGCAACAUGUAUGUAUGUACAGACACAUAAGUUAACCACACAGUACAUAUACAUAAACAAAUUCAAUACAUAGACAUAUACACAAAACAAUAACUCACGCACCUUACCCCCACAUUUAACACAGCAAACAAAAUAAAGUACAUUGACAAAAUAAUCAGCAGAAUGCAUUGAACAACUAAUAAGUCGUUUAUCAAUAUGCCUUAUGACAAAUGUAACAAAGUCACAUCUCUCAUGGAAAAGUCAAAUAAAGUAAUAAUAAUAAUAAUAAAGUAAAAUCAAGAUAAAGAAAGUCAUGAUUAUGUACAUAUUACUGUAUAUUUUCCACAUAAACCUUUUAUAUGUAAUACCAUUUGUACCCCUAAUACCAAGAAUAUAUAGUUUUAAGAAAAGAAAAAAAGUGAUGAUUUGAAUAAACCAAACAUGGUAACAGAUCUCAAGAAAAGAGAAAGGUUAUUCACGUCUGAAGGGGCCUUAUACUGAAAUGCUCUCCUACCAGCCACAGAAAAUAACCUUGGUACCAUAAAAAAUGUUGGACGUUGGAGGUGUCUAAAGUGGUUUCACCCAUCCUCCAGCACAGGCAAUUCCAGCAGAGACGAUUCUUCUUCCCCAAGUGGACGGUA